UACGUAGGGCGCAAGCGUUGUCCGGAUUUAUUGGGCGUAAAGAGCUCGUAGGCGGUCUGUCGCGUCGGAUGUGAAAACCCGGAACUCAACUCCGGGCCUGCAUUCGAUACGGGCAGACUUGAGUACUGCAGGGGAGACUGGAAUUCCUGGUGUAGCGGUGGAAUGCGCAGAUAUCAGGAGGAACACCGGUGGCGAAGGCGGGGUCUCUGGGCAGAAACUGACGCUGAGGAGCGAAAGCGUGGGGGAGCGAACAGG
rnacentral:rRNA from 1 species